AUUUGUUUGUUUGUUUGUGAUAGAGUCUUGCUCUGUCACCCAGGCUGGACUCAGGUGCAAUCUCAGCUCACUGCAACCUCCCCAUCCCAGGUUCAAGCGAUUCUCCUGCCUCAGCCUCCGAAGUAGCUAGGAUUACAGCUGGCUUAAUGUUAAGCUUGUUAAAGAGAGGGUCUGGAGUGAGCAUUCAAGGCCAAACAGAAGGAAGGAGUUACCCUUCCUGUUCAUGGCCUCGGAGCCAGCAGAGCAGUGUGAAGGAAGCUGGGCACUGCUCAGCUCAGUAUCUUGUGUGCACAAGCUCUGCCAGUCUGCACCCUCCAGCAAAUGUCUUCACUAUCCACGGACCAUUGCUAUGGACCAGCUCCCAUCUGCAGCCUCUGGUGAGUUUCUCCAGCACCUGGAAAGCUGCUCCUACAGCCCACUUCUGGCCCACAACUUCUGGCAAGGGUCUUUACCACCGUCAGGCUGACUUUUCCUCUUGCAGGGGCAGGCAAUGAUGGCCACAUUAGAAGUAAUAAUUCCAACCAACCUUGACAAUUGGUUACCUAUCCAUUAACUACAAAACCUGUACUCAAAACAGUAGAGAGUGAAGAAGAGCUACUGUUCCGCACAGACCCCA
rnacentral:lncRNA from 1 species